rfam:Myotis lucifugus cont2.10559, whole genome shotgun sequence.
GGCCUCCCUCUGCGGGGCAAUCGAUUGUGGGGCUCCGUGAUUGAUAGCUCUGCAGAGGGAGGCC